ACUAACAACUGUUCGAGGGGAUUCUUCACCGACAUCAAUUUCUUCAACAUAGAGUGAAUCUGCAUCUGGGUGCUUCUGAACUUUUUUGAUGAGGCCAACAGGUUCUAUUGACAAAGUUUUAUGUUGUGGUUUUAUUUGCCGAUAUGAAUGGGGUACUUGAAGAGUAUGAUUUAUCAAAUCUGUUAUUGUGAUUGUAGCAACUACAUUUCUCCAAAUUUCAGCUAUCAACCCUGUUUUACGUCUUCUACAGAAUGUUGGAAAAGGUUG